rfam:Streptomyces decoyicus strain NRRL 2666 P029contig107.1, whole genome shotgun sequence.
GCUGUCCACGGCGUGGAACGGGGAACACGUGUACCGAACCGGCAGCUACGCUGGCCGGGUGCGCCCUCUGCCGGAGGGUGCAAAGCCGACAGCCGUCGCAACCACGGGAGCAUCUCCAUG